rnacentral:rRNA from 1 species
AUGGCAGGCAUUACUACUCUCAAGCGUGGCUAUAUUUGGCGAGUGGGGGAUGGACAUAACAUCAAUAUCUGGGAAGAUGUUUGGAUGCCAAAUUAUGCCACUAGAAAGAUUAUGACCCCUAAGGGGGGACAUUUGUUAUUAAAAGUGGUUGAUUUGAUUGACCCGGCCUCCAAUAAUUGGGAUGAGGACCUGAUUAGACAAACUAUGUGGUCCAUUGACGCACAACGGUUUCUUUCAAUCCCAAUUUCGCAACAUAAUAUGACAGAUUUUAUUGCCUGGAGUUAUAUGAAAAAUGGUAUGUUUUCGGUACGGUCUGCUUACCAUGUGGAGUGGAAUUAUCAGUAUGGGAGUAAAUUAAAACAUUCCAACGGGAUGGGGCGAACCACACCUAAUCCUAUAUGGUGUCAGAUAUGGAAGUUAUCUUGUCCGGCAAAAGUCAAAAUCUUUUUAUGGCGGACACUACAUGGCACUCUUCCAUGUCGGGCAACACUGACUAAUAGACACAUGAAGGUCUCGCCUCUUUGUCCUUCCUGCUCUUAG